AUCCAGCCGACGAGUCCCAAAUAGGACGAAACGCGCGUUCUGGAC
rnacentral:hammerhead_ribozyme from 1 species